ensembl:ncRNA Y60A3A.32 ncRNA
UGUCCGAAUGGCUCAGUGGGAUUUUCCAGAUCUACCACUCACAACUCCAGGGUUCGAAUCCCCGCUGUGGCAAUUUAUUUU